rnacentral:lncRNA from 1 species
UUUGAGCAAAAAAAUUAAGCUUAUUUAAAAUAUGGACCGGUUUCAGGCUCGAAUAUUCAAGGCUUGAGCUUAGCCCGUUGUAAUAGCCCAAAUCUGCCCGGGCCCAUGGUCAAAUAAAUAAAACCAAAAAUAGAAAAUAAAUGAAUAUCUAUUUUAAACAGUCCAUAUAAAGUCCAAUUUACAAAAGCCCAAACACAGGCCCAAAUACCUUCGACCCGUUAUACCCAAACAGACCGGCUACAACCCAAUAGCCUAGACUACCCGUGUACCCUAAUAACCCCGUAGCCUAACUUAAACUAGACAGAUCCAGGACUAAAGUGACCCAACUGGCCCAAAACAUUACACCAAGGCAGGAAACCUUAGGGUUUCUGCCUUCUUUCUCCUCGAGCCGCCACUAAUUUUAGAAGGUUUAGGGAGCGUCUGUCUAGCUCCCAAAUCGAGGCCACCAUUCAAGGCUCUGCCUCCGUAAUCAGCGCCUCACAGUCACCACGAAUCAUCACCACCAGACUUCAGGCCUCCAUCAACGCCAGCAGCCCUUGAACCACCGAGAUCCUUGCGGUCACCUGCAAGAAAAGGAAAGAAAUCAAAGCAAUAUUGUAGUAAAUAGAUUAGAACAGAGUUUGGAAAGAAAUCUUUCGAUUUCUUUCCAAAAUAGGCAGUAAAUCAAGGCUAUAAAGCCUUUUCUCAAAUCUGUAAAAAAAGGAGGCGAAUACACACAAGCAUAGAGAGAAACACAUCACAAAAAGCAUUGUACACCAAACCUUUGCAAUAAUAUUUCAGAAUGUGAUUAUUUUUCAUAUUCUUCUUUUUUGUUUUCUUUUUUUACGAAUAUAUGAAUCGUUUUUAAAAAAAAAAUAGUAACGUUUAAAAGAAAAAGGGUUACCUGUGGAAGGACGAAGGUUUUAGACCCUCAGACCACCGUGUACAACGGCGCGUGGGCGCGUGUAGGACUGAUGACCGGAGCGUGGCCUGCGGAGGCCAGAGCCCGGAGGACCUCUCCUCUCCCCUCUUUCAGAGGGUUUUUA